UACGUAGGGUCCGAGCGUUGUCCGGAAUUAUUGGGCGUAAAGAGCUCGUAGGCGGCUUGUCACGUCGGCUGUGAAAACCCGGGGCUCAACUUCGGGCUUGCAGUCGAUACGGGCAGGCUAGAGUUCGGUAGGGGAGACUGGAAUUCCUGGUGUAGCGGUGAAAUGCGCAGAUAUCAGGAGGAACACCGAUGGCGAAGGCAGGUCUCUGGGCCGAUACUGACGCUGAGGAGCGAAAGCGUGGGGAGCGAACAGG
rnacentral:rRNA from 1 species